rnacentral:rRNA from 1 species
UACGUAGGAGGCAAGCGUUGUCCGGAUUUAUUGGGCGUAAAGAGCUCGUAGGUGGUUCGGUAAGUCGGAUGUGAAAUCUCCAGGCUCAACCUGGAGGGGUCAUUCGAUACUGCCGUGACUAGAGUUCGGUAGGGGAGUGUGGAAUUCCUGGUGGAGCGGUGAAAUGCGCAGAUAUCAGGAGGAACACCCGUAGCGAAGGCGGCACUCUGGGCCGAUACUGACACUGAGGAGCGAAAGCGUGGGGAGCGAACAGG